rnacentral:tRNA from 1 species
UACUCGUUACUGGGCUUGAACCAGUACUUUUUUAACUAAAAUCAGAUUUUAAGUCUAACGUGUCUACCAAUUUCACCAAACGAGC